ensembl:lncRNA
GACCACGACACUGCCGGGGUCUUUAAAGGCUGGCCUUUUCGGGUAGGGCAUCUGCCCUCCUAAAUCGCCUUAAGAUUCCAGGAAAAGAGAGAAGAUGCCUCUCUCAGUCUUUGAACUAUGCUGCUCUUCCUGUAUCCAUUUCUGCUGAACACAGCCUUAUCUUUUCAAAGAGAAAAAAAGAUAAAAACAAGAGGAGAAUUGCACCACUGCAGAUCCCAAGAGAAGUAAGCACAAAACUACAGCAACGUCAAAUAAUAUCUUCAGCAACUAGGAAAAUCCCCACAUGCUGUCUGGUGUCAGCCCAAUGCAGACUGGGGUGCGCUGUGCCCGGAAUCACAGGAAGCCGGGCAGCUCUGCAGCCUGUGUCCCUGCCAGCUCCCCCCACGCGCUGAAAUUCGCCAGGAAGAACUUAUGAUGCCCAGCUUCUGUAUGCAAGACAGGCAGGCAGACCACGCACCCAACACUCCGCGACUCGGCCAAGGGGCCGCGACAUCAAAAAGGCAGAGCCAUCAGAAGGCACGGGAGGCACGGGGGUUUGAGCCCUCGGAUUUUGCUGCAUUGUCACGAACUAGGAAUGUAGGGGUAGGAGCAACUGCACCUCCAGCCAAAAAUGGACCGGACGCGUUUUUCCCGGCGGCGCCCUCCCCGCCCGUGUGCAGGUCGCAAUACGCUAAACAAAAGGCAGGCCCUGAUUCCAGACUCCUGACUGAACACCAGAGGACAGAAACCCAAGUCCCAGAUUGUGUGAUGGGCUGCUUCUCACGACUCAACUCUUGGUUUUGAGUUCUCUCUCAAAGCCAGAACUUUCCAGAACUGGAAGCCUUGGAAGAUAAUGAAGGCAGCUUCACCAGCUGUCCCCCUUUCUCCAAGGAGACACGCACAUAUUCAUCAGGACUUGACUUUCCUCAUUCCCCUGGAGAUGGGGGUGCCAGGCCUCCCCCUUCCCUGACGGACAGCCCCUCUCUUUGCCUGUUGCCCUUAGAUCUCCCAGUCAGAUGAGAUAAAAGCUGAUCACUUUUCAAAUCUCAGCUAAGAUCCAUGCAGAAAGCUGGACAUACAUUUCUCCAAAAGACUUUUACAGUUCAGUUAUUAUUGACUCAACUGACUUAAUUAUUCAAUUACUCCUAG